rnacentral:ncRNA from 1 species
UUCGUGUAAUGCGGGUUGUAGUUGAUGAACGCGUAGCCCCGCGCCUGGUCGAUCGUGUGGAACAGCGGGUUCCAGUCGAAGAAGGCCAGCAUCGACGAGGGCAGCGCGUUCGCCACGAACAUCUUGCCCGAGGCGAUCAUGUUCAGGCGGCUG